UGCUGUGAUGGUGUAAUUUGCGUCUUACACUGUGAUCAGUGACAGUAUGCCUGCUGUCAUAUGCUGACACAGAUGGCUGACGAUCAUUGAGACUGAGCA